UACGAAGGGUGCAAGCGUUACUCGGAAUUACUGGGCGUAAAGCGUGCGUAGGUGGUGAGUUAAGUCUGUCGUGAAAGCCCCGGGCUCAACCUGGGAAUGGCGAUGGAUACUGGCUCGCUAGAGUGCGGUAGAGGAGAGUGGAAUUCCCGGUGUAGCAGUGAAAUGCGUAGAGAUAUGGAGGAACACCAGUGGCGAAGGCGACUUUCUGGUCUGUAACUGACACUGAGGCGCGAAAGCGUGGGGAGCAAACAGG
rnacentral:rRNA from 1 species